rnacentral:rRNA from 1 species
GAGGGAAUCUUCCACAAUGGGCGAAAGCCUGAUGGAGCAACGCCGCGUGUGUGAUGAAGGGUUUCGGCUCGUAAAACACUGUUGUAAGAGAAGAAUGACAUUGAGGGUAACUGUUCAAUGUGUGACGGUAUCUUACCAGAAAGGAACGGCUAAAUACGUGCUAG